UACGUAGGGUGCGAGCGUUAAUCGGAAUUACUGGGCGUAAAGCGUGCGCAGGCGGUUUGUUAAGACGGAUGUGAAAUCCCCGGGCUCAACCUGGGAACUGCAUUCGUGACUGGCAAGCUAGAGUAUGGCAGAGGGGGGUAGAAUUCCACGUGUAGCAGUGAAAUGCGUAGAGAUGUGGAGGAAUACCGAUGGCGAAGGCAGCCCCCUGGGCCAAUACUGACGCUCAUGCACGAAAGCGUGGGGAGCAAACAGG
rnacentral:rRNA from 1 species